UACAGAGGGUGCAAGCGUUAAUCGGAAUUACUGGGCGUAAAGCGUGCGUAGACGGUUAUUUAAGUCGGGUGUGAAAGCCCCGGGCUCAACCUGGGAAUUGCAUUCGAGACUGCAUAGCUAGGGUGCGGAAGAGGGAAGCGGAAUUUCCGGUGUAGCGGUGAAAUGCGUAGAUAUCGGAAGGAACACCAGUGGCGAAAGCGGCUUCCUGGUCCAGCACCGACGUUCAGGCACGAAAGCGUGGGGAGCAAACAGG
rnacentral:rRNA from 1 species